rnacentral:rRNA from 1 species
UACGUAGGGCGCAAGCGUUAUCCGGAAUUAUUGGGCGUAAAGAGCUCGUAGGCGGUUUGUCGCGUCUGCCGUGAAAGUCCGGGGCUCAACUCCGGAUCUGCGGUGGGUACGGGCAGACUAGAGUGAUGUAGGGGAGACUGGAAUUCCUGGUGUAGCGGUGAAAUGCGCAGAUAUCGGGAGGAACACCCGUAGCGAAGGCGGCACUCUGGGCCGGUACUGACGCUGAGGCGCGAAAGCUAGGGGAGCGAACAGG